AUGACUAUUCUGAAGAAAAUGAGCCUGCCUGGUAAAGACUUAAAAAAAUACAAAGAUUGCAAGUCUCCUGGGACAGGUGAGGGAGUGAGUGGAAGCUGGUGGAGCUGCUCAGGGAGGACAGCAAACUCCAGAGAGAGACAGAGGAGAGAAGAGCACAGGAGAGGAGGGAGAGAAUGGAGAGACUGUUUUCUCUUCUUGAGAGAAUGCUUAACAAAUACAUUAUAUAUUAGCCAAGAGAAAACAGUGGAAAAAAUGGGUACAUUACAAUGUUUCAAUAUCUUUUUUAAAAGGCACAUUGUCAAUGAAACAACAUAAUUUCUGUAGUUUGUGCAUUAUUAAUUUUUGUAGUGUAAUUUAUUUUGUAGAGUACUUUCUGUACAUUUUGUGUUUUUGUUUUGCAUAUUCACAUGUAUAAAUAAAAGAGAAGUAAUUAUGCAAAUUGUUAUUUUUCAAAAUACAGCUUAUAUAUUUUUUUCACAACACAUUCUUCUAUACAUUUAUGUAUUUAUUGUCCUGUAAUUUUUAUUUUUUUUUACAUUUUUUUUUUUUUUACACAUUAAAAAAAAUUGUUCUAUACAUCACUGAAAGUACUUUUUACAGUUAUUUACAACAUAGCUUAGGUUUAGCAUAGCUUUGGCCCUCCCUCCAUGUGUUCAAGGGUCUUCGGGAGGUGAAUCUCUAGGAGAAUGGCCAGCACCUCCUCAGCUACUCGGAGGACAGUGCGGUGGACAGUGGAACGAGGCACAUGUCAUAUUCUCUAGAGACCACUCUAUUGAUGUACCACUAGCAGACAGAAGAGAAACACCAGGGUCUGGAUUGUGGUAACGUUAAAAUGUUUAAGUUUAAAGUUAAAAUGUUUUAACAAUGUAUUUGUUUCUUAUAAACACAGCGUUUCACCUCAUAAGAUGUUAAAUGAUGGUCUAGACUGGUGUGGAUUACUUGUGGAUCAUUGUGAUGUUUUUAUCAGCUUUUUCGACUCUCAUUCUGAUGGCACCCAUUCACUACAGAGGAUCCAUUGGUGAGCAAAUUAUGUAAUGGCAAUUUUUUUAGAAGUUAUGCCAAAACAUUAGUUUCUAGAGAAGUUAUGCCAAAACAUUAGUUUCUAGAGCAUGUCCUGUUACUUUUG
ensembl:lncRNA